UUCACGAUAUAAUUCGUGAAGCGAAAGAUAUGAACCCUAGCGAUCAAAUCGGCUGGUACGUUAAGGGGUUACUACCACCUUUGCGCAGCCGGUGUGCGACAAGCGAAGAGGGCAAAGAUUGGGACAGCUUAGAUAAGCUAAUCCUUUACGCUGUUGGGCAAGAGGUUCGGUGGCAGUCGGGCAAAGACAAGCCUACCGUCCAUGCAGUUAGCGCUGACCUUAAUGCGAUCACUGCUAAAAAGCCCUUCAAUAAAUUUAAGCGUUCGUCCUCUGAUCGCAAUUCGCAGGGUUGGCAACCCGCCAAUCGGCCCAAGAAGGCGCGUCUGGAGCAAGAACAGCUGGCGGCACACACUUGCCGCAAAUGCCGUCGCGUGAAGCCCGCCCACCAGAGCUGGGCGGAGCACAAGCCCGACUGCAUUCGACACCUCAAGGCUAACGCCGAGAAGACGCUGUCCCUUGCCGCGAAGAUGGAGAAUGCCAUGGCUGAUUAGCGGGUCGGCAAGCGUGUUGUUGGGGGCUGUGAGCAACCGGAAUGUCCUAAGGACUCCGCUAACUUGCAAAUCAGAGAGUCCUUGUUGCCCGUUUGUGAUCCGCUUAGCUGUGAUCACAUGUACC
rnacentral:lncRNA from 1 species